GAUGAACGCUGGCGGCGUGCCUAAUACAUGCAAGUCGAGCGAACAGACGAGGAGCUUGCUCCUUCGACGUUAGCGGCGGACGGGUGAGUAACACGUAGGUAACCUACCUAUAAGACUGGGAUAACUUCGGGAAACCGGAGCUAAUACCGGAUAAUAUUUCGAACCGCAUGGUUCGAUAGUGAAAGAUGGCUUUGCUAUCACUUAUAGAUGGACCUGCGCCGUAUUAGCUAGUUGGUAAGGUAACGGCUUACCAAGGCAACGAUCCGUAGCCGACCUGAGAGGGUGACCGGCCACACUGGGACUGAGACACGGUCCAGACUCCUACGGGAGGCAGCAGUAGGGAAUCUUGCGCAAUGGGCGAAAGCCUGACGGAGCAACGCCGCGUGAGUGAUGAAGGUCUUCGGAUCGUAAAACUCUGUUAUUAGGGAAGAACAAACGUGUAAGUAACUGUGCACGUCUUGACGGUACCUAAUCAGAAAGCCACGGCUAACUACGUG
rnacentral:rRNA from 1 species